CUGACCUCAAAUCAAGUAGGACUACCCGCUGAACUUAAGCAUAU
rnacentral:rRNA from 1 species